AUUUUUUAUAUACACCCAUUUGUUUAAAAAUACAUAGGGAUGUGGAAAGAGCGCAGGUAACUUUUUUCUUUGGUUUUUACUAUAUGUAUUUUGGCUGAUGUGUACUAUGGUCGUUGUUACCACCCAGGAGUAAUGGGAGUUUGAGCGCAGGACCAGUUUCUUUGUAUUUGUAUUAACAAUUAGUAUGAUGCUGAUCAUAGGUAGAGGUACAAGGAACUAUGCAUUGAACACAUUCUAGGGGUAUUGGUAGCAUAUAUUGAAAAGGUGGUGUCAGUGGCAAUGUCCCCUAGAGAGAAAGUAGGGAAUUUAUAUCGCCAGGCAUGCACACUCAAUAUUAUAUCCCGGGUUACCCUAUACCUUACAGACAGAGAGCACAGUUCAGUACCACACUGGUCCGUCGUAGGGGUACUGUCCCAAGCAGAGUGGAGA